rnacentral:rRNA from 1 species
UACGAAGGGGGCUAGCGUUGUUCGGAAUUACUGGGCGUAAAGCGCGUGUAGGCGGGCCGUUAAGUCGGGGGUGAAAGCCCAGAGCUCAACUCUGGAACUGCCUUCGAUACUGGCGGCCUGGAGCAUGAUAGAGGCGAGUGGAAUUUCGAGUGUAGAGGUGAAAUUCGUAGAUAUUCGCAGGAACACCAGUUGCGAAGGCGAUUCGCUGGAUCAUUGCUGACGCUGAGACGCGAAAGCGUGGGGAGCAAACAGG